AGAAGAUGCAGAGUUGACUUAAGGAGAAAAAGACUUAAGAACUUAAAUAAAAAAUCAGUGGAUGGAGGAUGAGAGCUCUCUCGGUUCCUCACUGGAUCUUCAAUUAAUAAUUAUGAUAAACACGAGACUGGGCUAUUUAGCGCUUGGUAAAAGAAGCUUGCUAAUUUUUCAGAACUGCCCGAAUUGCUCUUCUUGUUCUUUAUACAUAUCAUUUGUCUUCCACCUACUAAAAGUGUCAGCGAUCAUCAAAAACUUUCAACGGAUAGUUAAACGGGAAGUCGAGAAAAAGCACAACAGUACAACUACCAGCCAAAAGUCAUGAGUAACACUAGAUAACAACCUUAGCUAAAGAUAAAUCUGUUUUACCAUUAAGUCACUCCUACAAUAUAGUUUGAGCUAAGCCCUCUGGAUCUUUAUAUUUUAUGUAUCUAUGUAUUGUAUGUGUAUUUAUAAAAAAAACAGGACCUCUCCUGGAAAAAAUUG
rnacentral:lncRNA from 1 species